UAAAAAUCAACAUUCAUUUCUUUAAAAAUCAUACCACAAUCAUAAUAUUAAAACAACAUCCAUUUCUUUAUUUUUCUAAAAAGGCAUCUUAGAAUGUGCAAUAAAAUACUGAAUCUCUUACCGAUACCGAUGACUCUUUGUAAACUAAUCCCCGUUCUCUUCAAACUUUCUUCCUUUCUCUCUCUAAAAUUUGGUCUUUGAAGGUGAAAAUUAGUGAGGAAGAGUGGGG
rnacentral:lncRNA from 1 species